UACGGAGGGUGCAAGCGUUGUCCGGAUUUAUUGGGUUUAAAGGGUGCGCAGGUGGGUAUUUAAGUCUGGUUUGAAAGCAGGUGGCUCAACCAUCUGAUGUGGCUGGAAACUGGAUAUCUUGAAUGGGUUGGCGGUAGCCGGAAUGGGUCAUGUAGCGGUGAAAUGCAUAGAUAUGACCGGAACACCGAUUGCGAAGGCAGGCUACUACGACUUGAUUGACACUGAGGCACGAGAGCAUGGGUAGCGAACAGG
rnacentral:rRNA from 1 species